UACGUAGGGGGCAAGCGUUGUCCGGAUUUACUGGGCGUAAAGAGCGUGUAGGCGGCCACGCAGGUCCGUUGUGAAAACUGGAGGCUCAACCUCCAGCUGUCGACGGAAACCGUGUGGCUAGAGUCCGGAAGAGGAGAGUGGAAUUCCUGGUGUAGCGGUGAAAUGCGCAGAUAUCAGGAAGAACACCAAUGGCGAAGGCAGCUCUCUGGGACGGUACUGACGCUGAGACGCGAAAGCGUGGGAGCGAACAGG
rnacentral:rRNA from 1 species